CCUACGGGAGGCUGCAGUGGGGAAUAUUGGACAAUGGGCCACAAGCCUGAUCCAGCAAUUCUGUGUGCACGAUGAAGGUCUUCGGAUUGUAAAGUGCUUUCAGUUGGGAAGAAGAAAGUGACGGUACCAACAGAAGAAGCGACGGCUAAAUACGUGCCAGCAGCCGCGGUAAUACGUAUGUCGCAAGCGUUAUCCGGAUUUAUUGGGCGUAAAGCGCGUCUAGGCGGAAAAAUAAGUCUGAUGUUAAAAUGCGGGGCUCAACUCCGUAUUGCGUUGGAAACUGUUUUUCUAGAGUACUGGAGAGGUGGGCGGAACUACAAGUGUAGAGGUGAAAUUCGUAGAUAUUUGUAGGAAUGCCGAUGGAGAAGUCAGCUCACUGGACAGAUACUGACGCUGAAGCGCGAAAGCGUGGGGAGCAAACAGGAUUAGAUACCCUGGUAGUC
rnacentral:rRNA from 1 species